rnacentral:rRNA from 1 species
CCUACGGGUGGCAGCAGUGAGGAAUAUUGGUCAAUGGACGAGAGUCUGAACCAGCCAAGUAGCGUGAAGGAUGACUGCCCUAUGGGUUGUAAACUUCUUUUAUAUGGGAAUAAAAUGUUCCACGUGUGGGAUUUUGUAUGUACCAUAUGAAUAAGGAUCGGCUAACUCCGUGCCAGCAGCCGCGGUAAUACGGAGGAUCCGAGCGUUAUCCGGAUUUAUUGGGUUUAAAGGGAGCGUAGGUGGAUUGUUAAGUCAGUUGUGAAAGUUUGCGACUCAACCGUAAAAUUGCAGUUGAAACUGGCAGUCUUGAGUACAGAAGAGGUGGGCGGAAUUCGUGGUGUAGCGGUGAAAUGCUUAGAUAUCACGAAGAACUCCGAUUGCGAAGGCAGUUCACUGGACUGCAACUGACACUGAGGCUCGAAAGUGUGGGUAUCAAACAGGAUUAGAUACCCUUGUAGUC